UACAGUUCGCUAAACCUCUAUCGGCGGAUAACUGCGGAUGGACGAAGGUCACCUUCGUGAUUUUAUCUAGCUUCUUGCAAGUGUCAUUCCCCUCCUCGUGAUUUGUGUCGGUAGUCCUUAUUGGCAGCGAUGAGUGAGUCGGAAGUGAGCACAUCGACUAUUGGCUUCCGUUCUCGUGAUUCCGACGAGCAGCGCCACCGCCUCUACCGCCCCUGACAGUAGGCGUGCUCGCCUCUCUUACCUUCCUGUUGCUGACCGAAGCCAAAGCCUUCCUCUCUUCUAAGUUGCAGGAAGCGGCAACGACUUGUUGCUAGAUAUAUCGUGAGCCGAGAGUCCCUUCCUCUUCUUCAAUUGAGCAACAACUUGGCAUACGUUGCUGCAGGAGGAAUUAAUCGGCUGCACAUCAACGAUCCUUCGUUCGAGAUAAGAUCUGCCUACUUUCUUGGACGACAUUUGUGUUUAGCUUGGGCUGUAGGGGAUCAAUCAAGGCUUGGAAUUGAUGAAGAUCUUGUGAUCUUACUCGGCAGUUAUUCACCUAUUCCAGUUGUGCUGGUGGGGUGACCACAAUGGCAAACCUGGACAAGAUAAAAACAGCAGUUAAGGUCGUGCCCUGGGAUAUCUUUGGAGGUGGUCUCGCAUACAAGGACGUUGUUGCUUGGCACAAGAAGCAAUUGAUGAUUUUCCAAUAGCCUUUCAUGAGAUUAAAAAUUUCACAUGAUUUUUGGUCAGAAGUUUGUUCUUGUGGAGUUAAUUUAUGAGGAUGUUAGCACUGUGUCAUGCAAUGUGAUAGAACUUCCUAACAACUAAAUCAACAAUAAUUUUUCAUCAA